rnacentral:rRNA from 1 species
UUUUUGAAUUUAAUUUAAAGUAGGAUCUGCCCACUGAUUGAUAUUAAAGGGCCGCAGUAAUUUGACUGUGCAAAGGUAGCAUAAUCAUUAGUUUUUUAAUUGAAAGCUUGUAUGAAUGAUUUGAUGAGAAAAAAACUGUCUUAAAUUUAAAUUUAAAAUUUUAUUUUUAAGUUAAAAAGCUUAAAUUAAAUUAAAAGACGAGAAGACCCUAUAGAGUUUAAUUUAUUAGCUAUAUAUUUAUUUAGAAUUUAUAAAAUUGUAUUUUAAAAUAAAUUUGAUUGGGGUGAUUGUAAAAUUUAAUUAACUUUUAUUAUUUAUAAUACAUUAAUAUAUGAAUAUUUGAUCCAUAAAUUUGAUUAAAAGAUUAAAUUACCUUAGGGAUAACAGCGUAAUUUUUUUUGAGAGUUCUUAUCGAAAAAAAAGAUUGCGACCUCGAUGUUGGAUUAAAAUUUAUUUUUGGUGAAGAAGCUAAAAUAUUAGGUCUGUUCGACCUUUAAAAUUUUACA